rnacentral:rRNA from 1 species
UACGUAGGGGGCAAGCGUUGUCCGGAUUUAUUGGGCGUAAAGAGCGUGUAGGCGGCCUGACAGGUCUGCUGUGAAAACUCGAGGCUCAACCUCGAGAUGUCGGCGGAAACCGUCUGGCUAGAGUCCGGAAGAGGAGAGUGGAAUUCCUGGUGUAGCGGUGAAAUGCGCAGAUAUCAGGAAGAACACCAAUGGCGAAGGCAGCUCUCUGGGACGGUACUGACACUGAGACGCGAAAGCGUGGGGAGCGAACAGG